GAUGAACGCUGGCGGCGUGCUUAACACAUGCAAGUCGAACGAAGCACUUUAACGGAAUAUCUUCGGAUAGGAAGAUAAAGUGACUGAGUGGCGGACGGGUGAGUAACGCGUGGGUAACCUGCCUCACACUGGGGGAUAGCAGUUGGAAACGACUGGUAAUACCGCAUAAGCGCACAGCUUCGCAUGAAGCUGUGUGAAAACCCGAGAGGGUGUGAGAUGGACCCGCGUCUGAUUAGCUUGUUGGUGAGGUAAAGGCCCACCAAGGCGACGAUCAGUAGCCGACCUGAGAGGGUGACCGGCCACAUUGGGACUGAGACACGGCCCAGACUCCUACGGGAGGCAGCAGUGGGGAAUAUUGCACAAUGGAGGAAACUUUGAUGCAGCGACGCCGCGUGAGCGAAGAAGUAUUUCGGUAUGUAAAGCUCUAUCAGCAGGGAAGAUAGUGACGGUACCUGACUAAGAAGCACCGGCUAAAUACGUGCCAGCCGCCGCAGUAACAC
rnacentral:rRNA from 1 species